rnacentral:rRNA from 1 species
ACUGCUCAGUAACACGUAGCUAAUCUACCCUUAAGUCAAGGAUAACCUCGGGAAACUGAGGAUAAUACUUGAUAGGAGAUAUACCCUGGAAAGAUUUAUCUCAUAAAUUCGAGCUUAAGGAUGAGGCUGCGGCGGAUUAGGUGGUUGGCGGGGUAAAGGCCCACCAAGCCGAUGAUCCGUAAGGGCUCUUAGCGGAGAGGCCCUGAGAGGGAAUCUGAGACACUAUUCCCAGCCCUACGGGGUGCAGCAGGUAAGAAUCUUUUGCAAUGCGCGCAAGCGUGACAAAGCGAGCCAGAGUGCUUUUCAAUUGAAAAGCUUUUGCUAAAUCUAAAAAUUUUGGCGAAUAAGGACUGGGUAAGACUAGUGCCAGCCGCCGCGGUAAUCCUAGCGGUCCAAGUCGCAGCCAUCAUUAUUGGGUCUAAAACAUCCGUAGCUUGCUUAAUAAGUUCCUUGUGAAAUCUUAUCUCUUAAGGGUGAGGCGUGCAAGGAGUACUGCUAAGCUAGAGACUGGAAGACGUAAGAAGUAUGCUCAAAGUAGCGGUAAAAUGUGUUAAUCUUGAGCAGACUCACAACAGCGAAGGCAUCUUACGAGGACAGUUCUGACAGUAAAGGAUGAAGGCUAGGGGCGCGAAGUGGAUUAGAUACCCAUGUAGUCCUAGCAGUAAACACUGCGCACUAAACAUUAGUACCUCCUCGAGAGGUAUUGGUGCUGUAGAGAAGUCGAAGAGUGCGCUACCUGGGAAGUAUAGCCGCAAGGCCGAAACUUAAAGGAAUUGGCGGGGGAGCAC